AAUUACUUCCAAAUCGCCAAGGAACUACGAGCAAUGCUUAAAACCUAAAGGACUUGACGGUACCCCAUAUUCACCUAGAGGAGCCUGUCCUAUAACCGAUACUCCCCGUUAAACCUCACCACUACUAGCCUUUCAGUCUGUAUACCUCCGUCCCAGCUUACCAUGUGAAUGAGCCAGUAAGCUUAACCGCCACCCACUAACACAUCAGGUCAAGGUGCAGCAAAUGUAGUGGGAAGAGAUGGGCUACACUCUCUAUUAUAGAGAACACGAAAGGUCAAUAUGCAACCUGACCCGAAGGUGGAUUUAGUAGUAAAAAGAAAGCAGAGUGCUCUUUUUAACCCGACACUGGGGUGUGUACACACCGCCCGUCACCCUCUUCAAAUAACACAACAAUAGUACUUAACAAACUCUUUUCCUCAAGAAGAGGUAAGUCGUAACAUGGUAAGCGUACCGGAAGGUGCGCUUGGUAAAGAAGUAUAGCUUAA
rnacentral:rRNA from 1 species